rnacentral:rRNA from 1 species
UACGUAGGGUGCAAGCGUUAAUCGGAAUUACUGGGCGUAAAGCGUGCGCAGGCGGUGAUGUAAGACAGGUGUGAAAUCCCCGGGCUUAACCUGGGAACCGCAUUUGUGACUGCAUCGCUGGAGUGCGGCAGAGGGGGAUGGAAUUCCGCGUGUAGCAGUGAAAUGCGUAGAUAUGCGGAGGAACACCGAUGGCGAAGGCAAUCCCCUGGGCCUGCACUGACGCUCAUGCACGAAAGCGUGGGGAGCAAACAGG